rnacentral:tRNA from 1 species
GGCCCAUUAGCUCAGUUGGCAGAGCACCUGAUUUUUAAUCAGGGUGUCCCGAGUUCGAGCCUCGGAUGGACCACCA